AACGCGAAGAACCUUACCUACCCUUGACAUGCUCGGAAUCUGCCAGAGAUGGUGGAGUGCCUUCGGGAGCCGAGACACAGGUGCUGCAUGGCUGUCGUCAGCUCGUGUCGUGAGAUGUUGGGUUAAGUCCCGUAACGAGCGCAACCCUUGUCCUUAGUUGCCAACAGGUUAUGCUGGGAACUCUAAGGAGACUGCCGGUGACAAGCCGGAGGAAGGUGGGGAUGACGUCAAGUCCUCAUGGCCCUUACGGGUAGGGCUACACACGUGUUACAAUGGGCAGUACAAAGGGAAGCGAAGCCGCGAGGUGUAGCAAAUCUUUUUAAAGCUGUUCGUAGUCCGGAUUGGAGUCUGCAACUCGACUCCAUGAAGUUGGAAUCGCUAGUAAUCGUGGAUCAGAACGCCACGGUGAAUACGUUCCCGGGCCUUGUACACACCGAGUAUA
rnacentral:rRNA from 1 species